rnacentral:rRNA from 1 species
AUUGAACGCUGGCGGCGCGCCUAACACAUGCAAGUCGAACGAGCGAGAGAGAGCUUGCUUUCUCGAGCGAGUGGCGAACGGGUGAGUAACGCGUGAGGAACCUGCCUCAAAGAGGGGGACAACAGUUGGAAACGACUGCUAAUACCGCAUAAGCCCACGGCUCGGCCUCGAGCAGGGGGAAAAGGAGCAAUCCGCUUUGAGAUGGCCUCGCGUCCGAUUAGCUAGUUGGUGGGGUAACGGCCCACCAAGGCGACGAUCGGUAGCCGGACUGAGAGGUUGAACGGCCACAUUGGGACUGAGACACGGCCCAGACUCCUACGGGAGGCAGCAGUGGGGAAUAUUGCACAAUGGGGGAAACCCUGAUGCAGCGACGCCGCGUGGAGGAAGAAGGUCUUCGGAUUGUAAACUCCUGUUGUUGGGGAAGAUAAUGACGGUACCCAACAAGGAAGUGACGGCUAACUACGUG